UGCCAGUGAUGCAUACACAAAUGCACGUAUUAUCGGAUUGUUCUAUGACGAUCAACCAAAUAUUGUCACUACCACUGAGGCA
rnacentral:snoRNA from 1 species